AUUGAACGCUGGCGGCAGGCCUAACACAUGCAAGUCGAGCGGUAGAGAGGUGCUUGCAUCUCUUGAGAGCGGCGGACGGGUGAGUAAUGCCUAGGAAUCUGCCUAGUGGUGGGGGAUAACGUUCGGAAACGGACGCUAAUACCGCAUACGUCCUACGGGAGAAAGCGGGGGAUCUUCGGACCUCGCGCCAUUAGAUGAGCCUAGGUCGGAUUAGCUAGUUGGUGAGGUAAUGGCUCACCAAGGCGACGAUCCGUAACUGGUCUGAGAGGAUGAUCAGUCACACUGGAACUGAGACACGGUCCAGACU
rnacentral:rRNA from 1 species